rnacentral:rRNA from 1 species
UACGUAGGCAGCAAGCGUUGUUCGGAGUUACUGGGCGUAAAGGGUGUGUAGGCGGUUGUUUAAGUUUGGUGUGAAAUCUCCCGGCUCAACCGGGAGGGUGCGCCGAAUACUGAGUGACUAGAGUGCGGGAGAGGAAAGUGGAAUUCCUGGUGUAGCGGCGAAAUGCGUAGAUAUCAGGAGGAACACCGGUGGUGUAGACGGCUUUCUGGACCGUAACUGACGCUGAGACACGAAAGCGUGGGUAGCAAACGGG